GCAGCAGCCGCGGUAAAACGGAGGGGGCUAGCGUUGUUCGGAAUUACUGGGCGUAAAGCGCACGUAGGCGGCUUUGUAAGUCAGAGGUGAAAGCCCGGGGCUCAACCCCGGAUGUGCCUUUGAGACUGCAUCGCUUGAACGUCGGAGAGGUGAGUGGAAUUCCGAGUGUAGAGGUGAAAUUCGUAGAUAUUCGGAGGAACACCAGUGGCGAAGGCGGCUCACUGGACCAUUACUGACGCUGAGGUGCGAAAGCGUGGGGAGCAAACAGGAUUAGAUACCCGCGUAGUCCCUGUCUCUUAUAU
rnacentral:rRNA from 1 species